UCCGGUUGUCACGCCAGUGGCACUGCCGGGUAGCUACGUUCGGAAACGAUAACCGCUGAAAGCAUCUAAGCGGGAAGCGUGCCUCAAGAUGAGAUCUCCCGGGAGCUCGACUCCCCUGAAGGAACCAUCAAGACCAGGUGGUUGAUAGGCUGGGUGUGUAAGCACAGCAAUGUGUUGAGCUAACCAGUACUAAUGAUCCGUGUGGCUUGACCAUAUAACCUCA
rnacentral:rRNA from 1 species